CGGUGGAGCAUGUGGUUUAAUUCGAAGCAACGCGAAGAACCUUACCAGGUCUUGACAUCCUCUGACCAUCUGAGAGAUCAGACUUUCCCUUCGGGGACAGAGAGACAGGUGGUGCAUGGUUGUCGUCAGCUCGUGUCGUGAGAUGUUGGGUUAAGUCCCGCAACGAGCGCAACCCCUGUGGUUAGUUGCCAUCAUUUAGUUGGGCACUCUAAGCAGACUGCCGUGGAUAACACGGAGGAAGGUGGGGACGACGUCAAAUCAUCAUGCCCCUUAUGACCUGGGCUACACACGUGCUACAAUGGUCUGAACAGAGGGCUGCGAAACCGCGAGGUGAAGCUAAUCCCUUAAAACAGAUCUCAGUUCGGAUUGCAGGCUGCAACUCGCCUGCAUGAAGUUGGAGUUGCUAGUAAUCGCAGAUCAGAAUGCUGCGGUGAAUGCGUUCCCGGGUCUU
rnacentral:rRNA from 1 species